rnacentral:lncRNA from 1 species
UCCCCUAGCCCUGUGCCCAUCCCACUGUGUCACAGAAGACACAGUGUCACAGAAGACACAGUGUCACAGAAGACACUGGAAAGCCUUUCUCUGAGUCACAGUCUGUAUCUUCUAGAAAAGGCUGUCCAUCUUCACCCCAAGCCCACUGGCUCCUGAAACACAACAUCCAGACCCAGUGCAGCUGGACCUGGCCCAGGGGAGAAACGGCACAUUAACAAAAUUCCAAUAAUGAAUAUCAUGGUGACAAAGCAGAGAGAAAGCACAAACAAUAGAAGGAAAUGUUGAACGAUUCCCUUUCAUCUCCUAACGGCAGUGUGAGGCUGGACACGUCUACUCCUGGGAAUAGAAUCCAAGGGCAAAAGUCCCUCGCAAUGAGGAGCCCACAUUCUGAGCUGAAAUGUAUGAACACCACAGCUUCAGGGCCAGGCAAAGUUGGGUUUGUGUCCCAGCAGUGCAACUCUCGGGCCUUUGAGCCUCGUUCUCCUCUUCUAUACAAUGGAGCCACUGACACCUCUUUCCUGUGUGUUAGAAACACCACCUAAGAAGAUGUAGAUAAAGUGACUCUGCAAGGUAAGAAUUCCAUAAAUAUUGACUCCCCUCCCCACCACAU